rnacentral:lncRNA from 1 species
GAACACCUGGAAUUACUUCUGACUUUUGCCCUCCUACUCCUUCACUAUCUCAUCAGUUAUCAAGCAGUGUUGAAUUUUUCUUUAUCGCCUUUGUUGGCGUUCUUCUUUUCAUUUCUUCCAGCCAUCUCCAACCUGUUAGGGAGUUUAGGAAAUUGUUCAAAGACUGAUUAAUAAGAUGGUAUGGAGAGGAUGUUUGGUUGGGGAUGUGGGAAUGUCUGAAUCCUGUCUUGGCCAGCCAUCUCUACUCAUCAGGAGUGUGGGGAGUACAUGUGCAAUGACACACCAGGGAAAGGAACACUUUAUUAUUAGCUGGGUAUGAACCACAAUGCAGAAGUCAGGAAAGAUAGGCUGGAUUCUGGUCAUCUCUGUCUAUCCUCCCCACAUCAAUGCCCAAAUUUGAGUCUUGGAACUUUUCUUCCGAGUGGGAUAGAGGCACACUAACCAGAAAAAGUAGAGAGAAAGACAAAUCCACAGCCUCUUUGCCCCAAGCCCGGGGCCUUGCUAAGACUUUUUCUGUGGGCCAUAGCCUUAGGGCCUGGCUACCUUGUGGGAGAGGGAAAGAGAACAAGCUGGCUGGGCUGCCUCUGAGAAAGGCAAGGGCAGCCCUUGUUACCACUCAGAGUAUGUUGAAGAACGGGAAAGACGCAGCACUUUCUGUUGAACGUGUUAUCUUUUAAGGGCUCCAUCCCAAGAAAAUGUUAUGAAUGCCAAAUUUAAUCAUCCAGCGAACAGACUGGCUGGAUCUAAUCAAGAGGGGAAGGAACCUGGGUGAGGUUACCAGAAUUUCACCUACUUCAUAACCAAAUCAACAGAUCCAACAAGAAUUAAAUAAGGCAUCACGGGAAUCUAAUCUGUAGGGAAGGGUGUGGGGAGACCCUUGUGGAAACAGCAUCUAUGUGAAAGGGACUUGAUGUGUUCACAGUGGUAGCAGAAGAAUCUCUGUGUCUUGACUCUUAGCCAAAAAUCUCCAGCCAAAACACAGCCUCCCCUGUUCUCCUGCAAAGGUAAGCCCAGUCCGUUUGGGGCAGUAACCUCAGUUUGCUCAGAAUGGUAAAUGUCAUUUAAUCCUAAGAAGGUUCUGCAUUAAAGAUGAGGAUAGUAAAAUAAAUCAGAUCUGCAGUAUUCAUACUUUUGUGUUAACCUUGGUAAUAUUUUGUUUAAUUUUGUAUUUUCAAUGUUUGUAAGAUUUAGUAUUUAUCAUAUUAGAGAAUCUGACAAGUUUCACGAAACAAGAGCCUUACUAAGUUUGAUGUUCUCUGCCAUUUUCUAUUUCUUUAAUGAAAUGUUGGUAAUGACCCACUAAGUUACUUAUGUGUUUCAUCAGUGGGUACUGGCCUGAGACCCUGAUAAUGGUUAAAAGUACAACUCUGAGGUCAGGCUGAUGACUUUCAGAUCUAGCUUAUUGUCUGGGUUUGGGCAAGUAACCCCUAUAUGUCCUUGUUUCUUCAUCUGUAAAAUGGGAUAAUAUUAGUAACUACCCAGGCCGGGCACAGUUGCACACCUGUAAUCCCUGCACUUUAGGAGGCUAAGGUAGAACGGCUUGAGCCCAGGAGUUGGAGACCAGCCUGGGCAACAGGCAUCUGCCUGUGGUCCCAGCUACUCAGGAGGCUGAGAUGGGAGGAUUGCUUGAGCCCAGGAUGAGACUGCAGUGAGCUGUGUUUGCGCCACUGUAUUCCAGUCUGGGAGAUACAAUGGGGAUGUGAAAAUGCAGGUUCCUAGGCAAACAAGCCAAGAUUCUGGAUACCAACUGGGUCCCAGGACUCAAAACAAUCAGCCUGAGUAAUUCUGAUGGAGGGAGUCUCCUGACGACACUAAAAAAACAACAAAAACGACCCCUCUUGGCUGAAUACAUUCAUAUGUUGCUUUGUACAAAAACUUGCUUUCAAAUAUCUGGGAAGAGUUAGAGAUAGGAAAGCAGAGGUCAUUUCAAAGAGAGAGAGUGAGGAUACCACCGGGAAGGCAGCGCCGAAAAAACCAGAGGGGAACCACUUGCCGAUCCCCCAGGCACAGUCUGGAGGUCCCAAUUCCCGCGGUAGGGGGGCGAGAGAUGCCACUCGUCUGAUCAGCAACCAUUUUGGGCCCGCUUGCGCCGCUUCUCCGGGGCGUCCGCGUUGUGCUCAUCCAGUUGCUUUUGAGGUUCCGGCCCCCUCCAAACCUCUGAAGCGCUCCGUGCACGCGACGCGGCGGCGGGGUAAG